UACGUAGGGGGCAAGCGUUAUCCGGAUUUACUGGGUGUAAAGGGAGCGUAGACGGCGAUGCAAGUCUGAAGUGAAAGGCGGGGGCCCAACCCCCGGACUGCUUUGGAAACUGUAUGGCUGGAGUGCAGGAGAGGUAAGCGGAAUUCCUAGUGUAGCGGUGAAAUGCAUAGAUAUUACACAGAACACCGAUUGCGAAGGCAGCUUGCUAGGCCGGAUCUGACACUGAUGCACGAAAGCGUGGGGAUCGAACAGG
rnacentral:rRNA from 1 species